UUAGAUUUUUUGGUUUUAUUUCAGAUUUCAAAUUUAAACAAGAGUUUUGGUAGGCAAAGACGAACGCUCUUCAGUCAAGAUAGACCAAAGGCUUUUCAUUUGUGAAAAGACGGUUCGUCAAAGCAACAGGUAUGAUUCACAAAGGGUGGGAGAUGGUUUCCGAAGAAACCUAACUCGAUAAUGAUCCUUCCGCAGGUUCACCUACGGAAA
rnacentral:misc_RNA from 1 species